rnacentral:rRNA from 1 species
AUGAACGCUGGCGGCGUGCCUAACACAUGCAAGUCGAACGGAGCUGCUUUGAUGAAGUUUUCGGAUGGAUUUAAAACAGCUUAGUGGCGGACGGGUGAGUAACGCGUGGGUAACCUGCCUCACACUGGGGGAUAACAGUUAGAAAUAGCUGCUAAUACCGCAUAAGCGCACGGUUCCGCAUGGAACAGUGUGAAAAACUCCGGUGGUGUGAGAUGGACCCGCGUCUGAUUAGCCAGUUGGCGGGGUAACGGCCCACCAAAGCGACGAUCAGUAGCCGGCCUGAGAGGGUGAACGGCCACAUUGGGACUGAGACACGGCCCAAACUCCUACGGGAGGCAGCAGUGGGGAAUAUUGCACAAUGGGGGAAACCCUGAUGCAGCGACGCCGCGUGAGUGAAGAAGUAUUUCGGUAUGUAAAGCUCUAUCAGCAGGGAAGAAAGUGACGGUACCUGAAUAAGAAGCCCCGGCUAACUACGUGCCAGCAGCCGCGGUAAUACGUAGGGGGCAAGCGUUAUCCGGAUUUACUGGGUGUAAAGGGAGCGUAGACGGCAAGGCAAGUCUGAAGUGAAAGCCCGGUGCUUAACGCCGGGACUGCUUUGGAAACUGUUUGGCUGGAGUGCCGGAGAGGUAAGCGGAAUUCCUAGUGUAGCGGUGAAAUGCGUAGAUAUUAGGAAGAACACCAGUGGCGAAGGCGGCUUACUGGACGGUAACUGACGUUGAGGCUCGAAAGCGUGGGGAGCAAACAGGAUUAGAUACCCUGGUAGUCCACACAGUAAACGAUGAAUACUCGCUGUUUGCGAUAUACAGCAAGCGGCCAAGCGAAAGCAUUAAGUAUUCCACCUGGGGAGUACGCCGGCAACGGUGAAACUCAAAGGAAUUGACGGGGGCCCGCACAAGCGGUGGAGCAUGUGGUUUAAUUCGAAGCAACGCGAAGAACCUUACCAGGUCUUGACAUCGAUCUAAAGGCUCCAGAGAUGGAGAGAUAGCUAUAGAGAAGACAGGUGGUGCAUGGUUGUCGUCAGCUCGUGUCGUGAGAUGUUGGGUUAAGUCCCGCAACGAGCGCAACCCUUAUUCUUAGUAGCCAGCAGGUAAAGCUGGGCACUCUAAGGAGACUGCCGGGGAUAACCCGGAGGAAGGUGGGGAUGACGUCAAAUCAUCAUGCCCCUUAUGAUCUGGGCUACACACGUGCUACAAUGGCGUAACAAAGGGAAGCAAGCCUGCGAGGGUGAGCAAAUCCCAAAAAUAACGUCCCAGUUCGGACUGUAGUCUGCAACCCGACUACACGAAGCUGGAAUCGCUAGUAAUCGCGAAUCAGAAUGUCGCGGUGAAUACGUUCCCGGGUCUUGUACACACCGCCCGUCACACCAUGGGAGUCGGAAAUGCCCGAAGUCUGUGACUCAACCGCAAGGAGAGAGCAGCCGAAGGCAGGUCUGAUAACUGGGGUG